CAAUCAUACAACAUACAUAUAGUGUGCUUAUUGUUGGUUACCGCUAUUUUUUACCUCUGUUGUUUCCUAAAGUAUUCUUUGUAGUUUGUAGAAGAAUAAGGAUUUUUAUCUUUUUGGACAUUAUGUAUUAAUUUAUCCAUUUUGAUGGAUGCUAUUUAUUUCCUUUCUAUUUGGUACUUACGAUGCUUUUUUUUAGUAAAGUUAUAUUGUAUUUAAUCGUUGUAAUAUAAAUUUUUAUCAAGAACUUUUUUAUCUUAACAUGUCAAAUGGUGCAUCAAUAUAAUUAGUGGUCACUUGUAAUUGUUGUACAAUUAUCUAAGGGAGAAAUUGAUGUAACAUAACUGAAUCUUAAUUAAUUUUUAGUUAAUUUUUAGUUAUUAGUUAGUUAUCAAUUAGUUAGAUGAAUCAGUUAGAUGGAUGAUAUUUGAUUAUAAGUUACGUGAUAUAUAACUAAUCACAUUUAAGUGUAUGAAAGCAUGAUGACGAGUAAUGAAAAAUUAUGCAACAUAUUUUUCUCCUUCACUCUUUUUUUUACAUUUUCACAUGUUUAGCUUGAUUCUUAACAUGGUAUCAUUGACUUGUGACCAAGUCUCCGCCGCUGCACUCCAUUAAUCUCAUCUCAUCCAUCUUGGUUUUUCUCUCAGGUUUUUCUCACUCUUUUUUCUACGUGAUAGAUGAAUCAAUGGCACCUUAACUCGACCACUGGAUGUAGAUCGCAAUUCCAUUGCUUGGGAUUGCUGCUACAUCAUGAUCAUGUCAUGGAUUCACAAUUUUGUUGAAUCAGAAAUUGCUCAAAGUGUUUAAAGGAUGGAUAUUGCAGCAGAAAUUUGGAAUGAACUGAGAGACAGUUUUUACCAAGGCAGUCACCAAGAUUCGUGCAUACAGAGAUGGUGAUCAAGUUAUCAAAUUCCUCAAAGGAAUGAAUGAUCAAAAUUCAAAUGUGGGGUCUCAAAUCAUGCUGAUGGAAUUACUUCCAACCAUUUGCAGAGUUUACUCUCUCCUUGUUCAACAAGAAAGACAAGUUAUUUUACCUAUUGAUGAAUCAAAGAUAUUAGUUUUUCCUAACAUCAACCAACCUUAGACUCAUCCUCCAAACUCAAUGUCAAAUCCCAUAAAUUUUUACAAAAAUAACCCACUUUUUCAAGGAAAUUCCCAAAAUACCCCUAGUUUCAAAAAAAAUCCCAAACUACCCCACUUUUAGGAGGAGUCGCCAAUUGAAUUGGCGACUCCUCUUAAAAAUUGAAUGCAGGCGCCAAUUGGAUUGGCUAGGGCAGGUGCCCUAGCCAAUUGGAUUGGCACCCCUGUGUAUACCUUGAAUUGGCGUCUCAGUGUAAAAUGUAUUUUUUGUGUUAUAAAUAGAUGUGCUGUGUGAU